rnacentral:tRNA from 1 species
UCCCUGUUGGUCUGGUGGCUAAGACACUGCGCUCCCAAGGCAGAAGCCCAGGGUUCAGUCCCUGGUCAGGAAA